rnacentral:misc_RNA from 1 species
GAAAUGCGAUACAUAGUGUGAAUUGCAGAAUUCAGUGAAUCAUCGAACUCUUGAACGCAUCUUGCGCCCAUGGUUUACCAUGGGCAUACCUGUUUGAGUGUCGUUACUAUUCAUCACAAAAAAAACACUCUGUGAGUGCUUUUCGAGUGGUAUUGAACGUUGAAGUAAUGAUUCAUCGUUUGAAAUGCAGUGGAGGUCUGAUAUCCUUCGAUGUUUGCCAAAUUGACAAUCAUACAAUGCUUGUAGCAUGUUUACAACAUGAUAUUUACAUUGAGAAUGCCAAGGUGGUGAAAGGAGGAGAAUAAGAGAUCUCUUUUCGAGGAAGGAUCCACCAACAGCAGUGCUGUUUUUGGACCCCUCUUCCCUUCUUAUUUCUGCGACCUCAAAUCAGGUAAGGCUA